rnacentral:tRNA from 1 species
GGGGAUUUAGCUCAGUGGCAUAAGCGCCUGCCUUGCAGGCAGGAAGUCGUGAGUUCAAUCCCCA